rnacentral:rRNA from 1 species
AACGAACGCUGGCGGCGCGCCUAAUACAUGCAAGUCGAGCGAGAAGGUGUAGCAAUACACUUGUAAAGCGGCGAACGGGUGAGGAAUGCAUGGGUAACCUACCCUCGAGUGGGGAAUAACUAGCCGAAAGGUUAGCUAAUACCGCAUACGUUUCCGGAACUUCGGUUUCGGAAAGAAAGCAAUACCGUGGGUAUUGCGCUCCUGGAUGGGCUCAUGUCCUAUCAGCUUGUUGGUGAGGUAACGGCUCACCAAGGCUUCGACGGGUAGCUGGUCUGAGAGGACGAUCAGCCACACUGGCACUGCGACACGGGCCAGACUCCUACGGGAGGCAGCAGUAAGGAAUAUUGCGCAAUGGACGAAAGUCUGACGCAGCGACGCCGCGUGGGGGAUGAAGGUCUUCGGAUUGUAAACCCCUUUCGGGAGGGAGAUGGAGUGGGUAACCACUUGGACGGUACCUCCAGAAGCAGCCACGGCUAACUUCGUGCCAGCAGCCGCGGUAA